GUAUAGGAGGUCCAGCCUGCCCAGUGACUACGGGUUCAACGGCCGCGGUAUUUUGACCGUGCAAAGGUAGCGCAAUCACUUGUCUCUUAAAUAGAGACCUGUAUGAAUGGCUAGACGAGGGCUUAACUGUCUCCCCCUUCCAGUCAGUGAAAUUGAUCUAUCCGUGCAGAAGCGGGUGUAAUUAUACAAGACGAGAAGACCCUUUGGAGCUUAAGGUAUAAAAUUCAGCCACGUUAAGUGACUCUACAAAAAGCAAGAACCUAGUGGCCAAUGAAGUUUUACCUUCGGUUGGGGCGACCACGGAGGAAAAAUAAGCCUCCGAGUGGACUGGGAUAAAUCCCAAAGCCAAUAGAUACAUCUAUAAGCCGCAGAACAUCUGACCAAAAAUGAUCCGACUGAAAAGCCGAUCAACGAACCAAGUUACCCUAGGGAUAACAGCGCAAUCCUCUCCCAGAGUCCAUAUCGACGAGGGGGUUUACGACCUCGAUGUUGGAUCAGGACAUCCUAAUGGUGCAGCCGCUAUUAAGGGUUCGUUUGUUCAACGAUUAAAGUCCUACGUGAUCUGAUUCCAGACCGG
rnacentral:rRNA from 1 species